AUACCAUGAUGUGGUCACUUCCUUAACAACUCUUUGAAUCUCUCCCAUGCAUCAUACAGUAAUUCCCCUUCCGUCUAUAGGAAUUAUUAAUUUCCCAUCUCAACUU